rnacentral:rRNA from 1 species
UACAGAGGUCUCAAGCGUUUGUUCGGAUUCAUUGGGCGUAAAGGGUGCGUAGGCGGCGCGGUAAGUCGGGUGUGAAAUCUCGGAGCUUAACUCCGAAACUGCAUUCGAUACUGCCGUGCUUGAGGACUGGAGAGGAGACUGGAAUUUACGGUGUAGCGGUGAAAUGCGUAGAUAUCGUAAGGAAGACCAGUGGCGAAGGCGGGUCACUGGUCCAUUACUGACGUGAGGUGCGAAAGCGUGGGGAGCAAACAGG